ACGCCUUAUGAAAUGUGAGGUUGCUCCAUGAAGGUGAGCAGCAGCCGUGAGUGUUUGGCUUAAGCUUAAAGCAGGAGAAGGAGGAGGUGAUUUGUUUGUGUGUGUGUGUGUGUGUGUGUUUAUGGAAAGGAGCAGGCAGGUACUCUAAGGUCUCAGCUUUCUUCCUCAUCCCGCCUUCCUUUUGUGACUGACUCCCUCAGAGGAAGAGGAACUUUAAAUUCUUUAGAGGGGCAGACCCACACACACACUAACACACACAGACCUGGAGAACGCUACAACCAAGACCUAAAACUCCACCACCUUCAUUCAGGACGUCCGGGCUGCAUUCUUUGUUCAUUUCCCCUCCUUCCCGCCAUGACCACGCUUGCAUCCCUCCUCCCUGCCCCCCGAGGCAUCGACCUCAGCCUGCCCACCUGCGGAGAGACACAGUGCAACAGCCGCGGGGCCUGCGUGUCACCUCCGGGUGGGGGGGUCAACCUGUUGUGUGACUGUGACCUGGGCUACCAGGGCGAGUCCUGCGAGGACACGGUGAACGGGGCGCUGAGCGUCCCUCUGACCCUGAGUGUGCUGGCCGUCAUCAUUGGCGUCGUGAUCCUGGCUUUCAUCAUCGCAAAGCUCCGGCAACUUCAGAAGAAGAAUCGCAGGAAAAAUGAUGCAAAGAAAUUUGGCUAUGACAUUGCUGCGUAAUGAGAAGAAUCUCCUUUAAUCUGAGGUCAACCACAAGGGCUUUGCAGUCCAGUUUGUUCAAGUAUGAAUCUUCCAGAAAUGGAAUCAGAUACACACGUCUGGCACAAUGUCUGACUUCUUACCACAGCUGUGUGACUUGUGCUGCAGCAUAAACCAGAAACUCCAACACUGAACUGAUAAACUGAACUUUUACUGCUUAAGACACUCGACUGAUGGUUCAGUCUGCGAGCGACACCCUGGUUACACUGUAGACUGUCAUUAUUAUAGAUUUUUUCAUAAAUUUGUUUUUUGGACAGUUUUUGUAUUGAACUAUGACUGAAAAUUACAAAAUUGCAACAUGUCAGUAGUCUUUUAAAACAAGUUCCUGAUUUUAUUAUCACUCGCCAAUUUAUUUGACACUAGUAUCCUCCAUUCAUAUGUGGAUGUUUCAGAAUCACCGCUAAUAAGUGGUCGUCCUGUAAGAUUUUACUGAUUCAUCAAGUAGUGACUUCAUUGUUGUGCUGUUUGGUGUUGUAUUAUUUUGUGCACCACUGACUGAAUUAAUGUUUGUUUUUUACUUUUUGUCAUUAUUUUUAACCACAAGCUUCUUUCUCUGAAGUGAAGACUCGGAUGGACAAAAGAACAAAGACGAUAAUGAGUUUUGAUAUGUGCCUCUUUUUUUUUUGUGCAACAAUGAGGAGAAUAUUAUAAUUUUGCUCAGAAGGCAAACGAUAACUGAUGAUUUAUGUUUCUACUGCUGCACACAACACCUGGUGACUGAUACUGAAGGUAGAGACCUAACUGUCCCAGCAGAUUACCAUCACUGAUCCUGACAAAAACAUGUUUAUAACGUGAACUGACCGAGAGAGAAGACUGUGCUUUUUAUUUCAACCACGGAAAACGUAUUAUCGACCAACAGAAACCACAACGUGUGCACACACCUUCUCAGAUCCUGUUCUGCUUCAUUUUAAAAUUCCUCUCGUGCCAUAAAUGUUUCACAGAUUAACACGGGACUGCUUUUUGGGCUCAUUUGUUUGUUAUAAAUAGUUUGUACUGAUAUUUUUAGUUCCUUUAUAUGCCUACUGAUGCUGUAUAUUUAUCUUUGUUUGACAUUUUUUAAUCCUUCUGUAUAGAACUAACUUUGCAAAUGUGGAGCAAGCUACAAUAAGUCUGUUGUAAAACUUAUUUCUUUAUCAAUUAACCUGCUGUUUUUACCUUUUUCUUUUGCUUUACUUCACAUGUAUAUUUUUUUUAUUAUUUAGGCUGAAGGCAACACUGGAUUUUACGUUAGCUUGGGUAGCUGUGUUUUAUUUUCAACAUAAAACUCAUACACUUGUAUAAAAUGUGAAAUCGCCCCCCAACAAGCCAGUGAUUUAUAUAUAACUACUGUAUAAAAGUGUAUAAAUAAAUUAAUUUACUGACAUGAAGAAAUUUGAUUUAUUUUAGUCAGGUAAGACAAACAAAACUUAAUUUGGGAAGUCAGUCCUCAGUGUUUAUGUUCACCCAGUUUGUUUCAUUGAUCUGUGUAUUACUCGUCUCCUCAGAAUGUCACUUAUAUUUACUUAAUUCUUCCAAAUCCAUUUAAAAAUCAUUAUUCAGUUGUUCCAGUGAUCUGCUCUGAGGUGUCAAUGUGUAUAAACAGUGAAAACAGACAACUGCCAGUAUGUGUGUGUUGUGUUUACUCUGAAAAACUGUUAAAACUUUCUCUGGGAUCCAGUGACACGAGUUUCAGUGUUUACUAAACUCAACACAAACCAGGUAAUGAAAUAAAAUUAUGAAAGUUGACCACAUUGGUAAUUUUAUACAAGACGACAUGUAUCUGUUUCAAAGAGGAAGAGGAGGGAUCUGCCCUGAGGGUGAAACCACGUCGACACCUGUUUUCUGAUUAAUGAGCCAUCUUUGCAUGUUUGUUUUGCAGGAGGAGCUCAGUGAAAUAUUAUGGAAAGUUGGUGUUAUGUGCACAUGGUCAAUUAAAGGGAAACUGCUGGUUUUACACAUAACGUUUUGUUUUAAAACCACUGGGAGUAAUAAACAGUUUGGACACGAUGAACUAUACACGUCUGAGGGUGGAGGAAUGUGAGAACGAAUAAACGUAAUAAAAAUGUG